AAAGACUUAGGUUAUCUAAACCAAAGACCUUCAAAGCCUUAAAAAGAAGUAAAACCCUCUAGUCUUUG
rnacentral:tRNA from 1 species